AGAGUUUGAUUAUGGCUCAGAAUCAACGCUGGCGGCGCGCUUAACACAUGCAAGUCGAGCGAGAAAGUGGAGCAAUCCAUGAGUAAAGCGGCGUACGGGUGAGUAACACGUGGAUUAUCUACCUUUUAGUGGGGGAUAACCCUGGGAAACCGGGGCUAAUACCGCAUAAGCCUUUACAGGGAAAGCAGCAAUGCGCUGAAAGAGGAGUCCGCGGCCGAUUAGCUAGUUGGUGAGGUAACGGCCCACCAAGGCGAUGAUCGGUAGCCGGCCUGAGAGGGCACACGGCCACACUGGCACUGAAACACGGGCCAGACUCCUACGGGAGGCAGCAGUGGGGAAUCUUGCACAAUGGGGGCAACCCUGAUGCAGCGACGCCGCGUGAACGAUGAAGCCCUUCGGGGUGUAAAGUUCUUUCGGCAGGGACGAUAAUGACGGUACCUGAAGAAGAAGCUGCGGCUAACUACGUGCCAGCAGCCGCGGUAAUACGUAGGCAGCGAGCGUUGUUCGGAAUUACUGGGCGUAAAGAGUGUGUAGGCGGUGCUCUAAGUUCGGUGUGAAAUCUCCUGGCUUAACUGGGAGGGUGCGCCGGAAACUGGAGUGCUCGAGCGUGGGAGAGGAAAGCGGAAUUCCUGGUGUAGCGGUGAAAUGCGUAGAUAUCAGGAGGAACACCUGCGGUGUAGACGCUUUCUGGACCAUUGCUGACGCUGAGACACGAAAGCGUGGGUAGCAAACAGGAUUAGAUACCCUGGUAGUCCACGCCCUAAACGAUGCAUACUUGGUGUCGGCCAUUCAGUUGGUCGGUGCCGGAGCUAACGCGUUAAGUAUGCCGCCUGGGGAGUACGGUCGCAGGCUGAACUCAAGGAAUUGACGGGGCCCCGCACAGCGGUGGAGCAUG
rnacentral:rRNA from 1 species